UGGCAGCUGCCCUUGCUAACUGCUGAAACAAGCCUUAAGUGUAUAGCACAAAGCGAGUUGCACAACCAGAUAAUAAUUUGGCAAACCUAAGAAAAACGUGGCAGAAAGGUAUUGUCAGCCCCUGUAUGACAACAUCGCCCUGCCACCCUUAAAGCCUCCACCGGACAACACCCCGCAUUGUUGUUCGGGGGAGGGUCAAAUAUCUAUAAUUUAUGAUGCUGUAAGGGUUGAAACUCGAAUGUAUUUGUGAAAUGCAUUGGACUUCCAACGACCCAAGACGCGAAUCUGCGCAUCAGACAAGCCCUGCUCAGCUGCGAAUGAUGCUGCGCCAAUUCGAAAACUGUGAGAUUUAUAAACCGUAGGAUUGAGGUUGCAAAAUUUUAAGCAUUGAUUGAGAUAGGAAAUAAACAUGUUUCUCGGCACUGUCGCCCCCACAGGAGUCAUGAAAAUUGGCCCAGGAGAAUUGCCACGGCGGGUCAAAUAAUUGCACAAAAGUUGUACAGGGCAGGGCUUGGGGGUUGGCUGACGAUAAAUGGCCAUGGAAAACGGGCGUUGGUUGUAAUUGUGUUUAUAGUCGGUGAAGGUUAUUUUAAAACCAAUUACUUCACCGUCUCUUAAGAGUUUGGUGAGUUGGUUUAAAUGUAGUGGAAUAGGAGA